UACAUACUCCCUCCGUCCCAAAAUUCCUGCCUUAGAUUUUUCUAGAUAUGAAUGUAUCUAAUCAAAUUUUAGUAUUUAGAUACAUCUAUUUCUAAACAAACCUAAGAUAAAAAAAGUUGAGACGGAGGGAGUAGUCA
rfam:Hordeum vulgare subsp. vulgare, WGS project CAJW01000000 data, contig: morex_contig_1625879